AGAAUAAACUACAAAACAGAGGAGUGAAGAUCUUAUGUGACGUAGUGAAGGACUCAGACUGUAAACUGGAGAGAUUGAGGUUAAGAUACUGUGAUAUGACAGAUGAAGGUUGUUCUGCUGUAACUUCAGCUUUGCAACCAAACCCAUCAAACCUGAGAGAGCUGGACCUCAGUGGAAAUCAACUAGGAGUUGAAAACCUUGGUGUUCUGCUGAAGAACCCAGAAUUCAAACUGGAAAUACUAGCUCUGUGUGGAUGCAGUAUUACAGAGAAACAGUGUCUCAGUCUAAGUUCAGCUCUGCGUUCAAACCUUUCACACCUGAG